GAGUGACUCUGCGGGGGAACAGUGCCAACCGGAGCGUCCGCAGAGCGAGGAGGGUCUCCGUCUCUGAAGAAGCUCUGGCUACAGACAGCGGGGUGUUCGAGGCCUGGGGGCGCAGGACGGAGGAGUCCGAUGAGAUUUCUUUUAUUAAAGAUCUGACGUCUGUGAGCGAGCCCACACAGAUCCACCUGGGGCUGCUCUGGGAGUUGUCCUCUCAGUCUCUGCGGCUCCACCUCCUGCAGCUGAAGAACCUGAACCGCUGCGUCGUCAGAGAGGGGUUCAAAGUG